CAUGUAUGCAGACUAUUAAGAGCUGUCAGUGAGCUCCAGCUGGUUUAUGAUGGCAAUGCUUUAAAACUUCCUGUGCCUGAACUCAUGAGACAACAACCGCAUGGUCUGCAAAUUUGCACCCAGCAGAGCUACAUACCAGCUAGCAAGGCCACCAUACCACCAGGGAGAUGGCCUUUGGCCCAAAAGACCACCUGGAAGAAAAGGUAUAGUGUGGGGAGGCUAGUCACACUAUUACCCCCCAGCACCACCUCACACAUUAUCACCAAUUCACCUUGCCACACUCACAUUAACCCUGCCCCCUAAUCCUGUUGUGUUAGCAUUGGGCACUUGGGCUGUGACAUAUGUUUAAGGGUCAGCACCGACUGUAAUAUUUAUUAAUGAACAUACAGACUAAUAUUUCCUAAUGAGCACACUGACUGUGAUAUUUAUUAAUGAGUAAACUUAAUGUGGUAUUUUUUAAAGGGCAAACUUACUGUGGGUUUUUUUUAGUGUGCAUCUGGUUUGGCAUGUUUAAUUGGCAAACUUACUGUGGUAUUUAUAAAUGUUCAAACUGUGAUAUUUAUUAAUGGACAAGAUUACUGUGGUAUUUAUUAAUAGGCAAACUUACUGUGGAAUAUAUUAAUGGGCACGUGGCUUGGCAAAUGUUUG